rnacentral:tRNA from 1 species
AUGAGAUUAAGUUAUUUUAGACUGUAUGUUUUCAAAACAUGUAGAGGUUUGUGGGCCAUCUUAUG